AUGUCUUCAAAUUUACACAGGUUGGAACCUUCUAUAAUAUGCUCUAGUUUCAUAACCAAGUCUUUCAGAAAUGAUGUUGAUCCCAAUGGAAUCAAUUGGAAAAGUGUUUCAAAGGAUGUAAAAUAUGGUUAUUUUGGAGAAUUUAAGAAAAAAUUCUAUUGGGAUGUUUCUAUUAGUGAAAAUGAAGUGAAGAGACACUGGUUGGUCAAGGCGGC